UACGGAGGGUGCAAGCGUUAAUCGGAAUUACUGGGCGUAAAGCGUGCGCAGGCGGUUUGUUAAGUCUGCUGUGAAAUCCCCGAGCUCAACUUGGGAAUUGCAGUGGAUACUGGCAGGCUGGAGUACGGUAGAGGAAGGUGGAAUUCCUGGUGUAGCGGUGAAAUGCGUAGAUAUCAAGUGGAACACCAGUGGCGAAGGCGAGUCUCUGGACAUUUCCUGACGCUGAGGCACGAAAGCCAGGGGAGCAAACGGG
rnacentral:rRNA from 1 species